UAAAUUUUAAUAAAGAAAUAAAUGCUAAUGAUAACAUAAUAAAUGUCCAUAAAUCUAUAUUUUCAGUUAAUAAU
rnacentral:sRNA from 14 species